ensembl:lncRNA
GUUCAGAUGAAAGUUGCUGUUUUUAGGUGUUUGUUGCGAAUUUUCCUCUUUGUAAUCAUAAUUGAGUUAUUUGUUGAAAAAUAACUGAUUAAUAAACAAACAUUCAUUCAUCAAGAACAAAAAUAAACUAGAAAAUGCAUUUCCUGAAGAAAAUACCAGUGCAUGAAAUGCAAAAGUUAAGAAAGAAAGAAGAAAAGAAAGAAGAGUGAAAGAAGGAAAGAAGAAAGGAAAGAAGAGUAAAAGAAGGAAAGAAGAAAGGAAAGAAGAGAAAGAAGAAAAGAAGAGUGGAAGAAGGAAAGAAGAGUGGAAGAAAGAAAGAAGAAAGGAAAGAAGAGUGAACAAGAGUGGCUCUGGAUAAAGACAGUAAAGAGAGAGUGAAGAGGGAAAAUAUUGAAAGAAGGAGAGAAAAAUGGAGCGAAGCAGAGAGAUGGAGUGUGAAAGUAGACUGAGAGAGAUGAAGAGAAAGAUGGAGAGAAAAAAAAGUAGAGUAUGGAAGGUGUCUCUUAAUAUUCCUAGUUAUACAGUUGAAUGGAGAGGGACAGAGAGAGAAGAGGAGCCUUGGAACCUUGGCGCAGGUGUCAGUGAAGCACAGGUGCAAGCCAGUUUAAUG